AAAAGCCCAGGGUGUUGGCCAGAACCUUCUCGUUUCCUAAGCUGCAGUUUUCAGUUCCUGUCCCCAAAGGGCCCCCCGGGUUCUGCGCAGCCUCUCAGUCACUCCUGCUCUGUCCUUGGCCUCUGCUGGACGAUGAUCUUGUAAGAAGAAGGAGAGAGAUGUGUCUCUCACUCUCUGCCAGGUGAGGACAGAAAGCAGCCAUCUACAGUCCAGAAGACCAUCCUUAAGAACAUGGCCAUGCUGCUGCCCUGGACUUCCAGCCUCCAGGACUGUGAGAAAAGACACUUCUGUGGUAUGUCAGGGCAGCCCAAGACCGAGACCCCCUCCAGAAAAUGGAACGGAUGGUCCCCGUCUUCAGCUGUGGUGUGACAGGAAGUGAGAAGGGUCUGCAUUUACUCUGAUGACAAGGUGACAGAUUAGCCUGCUCCAGUUUCAUGGAUGCUGGAGAAGAUGAGUCAGAGGUAAAAGCUGAUUGAUCAUUCAGACCAGUGGCAAGUGACAGAGGGUUAAUGCAACGCACCUAAGCUCCAGCUCCCACAGACACACGUGGAGAGGACUGUUCCUCUGUGCACAGGGUCACACGGUGUGCUGUGUGACAGUAGCACGAUCUUCAGCCUGGGGCCCCGCCAGUCUUCUAAAAUGAGCAACAAACAUGGCCGCUCCCGGGCCCAGAUGGAGACAUUACUGGGCUGGACAGUACACGAGCUUCCCUCUGCUGCAGAGGGGGACACUACCUCUGUCGUUUAAGGCUGUUGUCUCUACAACCAUCCUUGACAAGAUAGUCUGGACCAAAGGGAAGUUAAGGACUUUGCUUGGAAGAUGUUCAGAAACACAGGAGACACAUAGAGAACCGCCUUUCGGCAUGGAGGCAGAAAACCUUAGCGCUGACCGGCAAAUACAAAGUUGCUGAGCUGUGCACACAGCUCAGCAUCAGGCAUGUGGUGUGAGUAUAUAGUCCGACGCCAGGAGCCUUGGAGACCGGAGAAGGUUUUCAGAUCUGGCUUUUCCUCGGGAGCUCACCCUUCUGCGGCUGUGGGACGCAGCCAGGUGUCUGGGAACUGCGGCGUGUCACAGUGUGUGCGCCAUUGAUUAACCAUGAAAACAGUAAUGGAACUGCCAUUGAUCCCUGAAAUGGCUCCUCCGAAAUCCUUUAGGACGUCCACAGGGUCACUACUCAUGUUCCGUCGCGAGGAUAAGCUUCAAGCUAUCUGACUGCUUGCUAACCGCCACCUGCAAUAAACUGCUUGCCUUUCCAUUACCAGCUUAACAACUGCCUGCCAGAGUGGAGUGUAUGAAAAAUAGAUAAAACAGCUCCCAAACUUCACAGCGGCAGAAGGAGUCAUUUGCACGACCGAGUUUGAGAAUUCUCAGUGUGGAAAAUAACUCUCCUGCUCACCAGGAAGUAUGAGGUGACUCAGUCUCUCAUUUUGAAUUUCCAGAAUUUAGCAGUAAAAAACUGACUGCCUUGGCAUGCCACUUUUAACUUUUCAAAGCACUUUCACAUUUCCUCCACUUGAUUAUUUCUCAGGAUAUUUAUACAGGGAAAACUUCUAAAAGUAAGGAAAAAUAUCAUGAAACUAUGUUCAAGAAGUAUUAAAUAGCUGUAUAAGAAUCACUAAAGGCAGAGCUCUAGGUCAGACUUGUCAUCUACACACCACCCAUCCAUCCAUCCAUCCACUAAUCUAUUCAUCUACCCACUUACCAUCUACUCACUCACCCACCCAUCCACCCAUCCAUCCAUCCAUCCAUCCAUCUGUCCAUCCAUCCAUCCACUCAUCCAUUCAUCCAUCCGUCCACCCACCCACCCAUCCACACACCCAUCUACCAUCUACCCAUGUAACCCAGCAAGGGUCUUCAGGGAGCCACUGACAACUACGAUGAUGUAUAAAAAUUUUAUUUUCCUAUUAUUUCAACCAAAUUCACGGUAGUUUAGCAACAACAACAAAACCUAAGCUUGAUCCGGGGAAAUUCAAGAAAAGUGCCUCAUCGAUACAGAGAAUGUAUGUGUAUCACCGUGUCUCUCUACCACCAGCCUCAACUAUUUUGUGUGGGCAUCAAGAGCAAGCAAAUUUAUUUCUAUUGAAAGUGAAGAAUGUUUAGAGUCACUUAAGUUAGAAGUGUUAUGACUGCUGUGAAAAAUGCAUGGGAAAUGAUGUACUAAGUCUUUGGUGAGUGGCUCUCUUCCAAUGCACACAUUUUUUAUUGUUGUUAAGAACACAUAACAUGAAAUCAUGCUCUUAACAAAUUAACAAAUUUUUACAUGUACAAGACUUGGUUAGCAAUACUAUAUUCCAUAACAAUUACAUGUAUAUAUUGUUAUAUCCAACAAUAUAAUAUUGAUAAAUAUAGUACAAUGUUGUACUGUGGGUCUCUAGAACUUACUCAUCUUGCUUAAGUGAAACUUUAUGCCCAUUGAACAUCUCCCCUUUUCCCCCACCCCUGCCCCGGAAACUGCCAUUCUACUCUCUGCUUCCAUUAUGACUAUUCUAGAUACCUCACAUAAGUGGGAUCAUGCAGUAUUUUUCUGUGACCAGCGUAUUUCAUUCAACAUAACACGCACCAGGUUUAUCUAUAUUGUUACAUGUGGCAGGCUCUCCUUUUUUAAAGUUGAAUAAUAUCACACACUGUGUGUGUGUGUGUGCAUGUGUGUUUACAUCCCCAUGGUUUCUCCAUCCAUCCAUCAGUCCUGGACACUCAGAUAGUUUCCAUAUCUCUACCAUUAGGAAUAACACUGCAGGGAACAUGGGAGUGCAGAGAUCUCUCCAAGGUCCUGAUUUCCAUUCUUUUGCAUGUAUACCCUGGAGU